ACCGCCCCGCGGGGGGCUAGGGUGAAUCCCCCAGGCCCGAAAGGGAGCAAGGGUAAGCCCGAUGCCUCCGCGCGGGGUUUAAAA
rnacentral:SRP_RNA from 1 species